UUACGGCAAUAUCAGUUUGAAACACCAGUUUCCGUAUGAUCACCGAAGUUAAAGAAUGUCGAGCUUGGUCAGUACCUAUAUGGGUAACCGCUUGAGAAUACUAGGUGUU